CCUACGGGAGGCUGCAGUGAGGAAUAUUGGGCAAUGGAGGCAACUCUGACCCAGCCAUGCCGCGUGCAGGAAGACGGUCCUAUGGAUUGUAAACUGCUUUUAUACAGGAAGAAACCCUCCCACGUGUGGGAGCUUGACGGUACUGUAGGAAUAAGGAUCGGCUAACUCCGUGCCAGCAGCCGCGGUAAUACGGAGGAUCCAAGCGUUAUCCGGAAUCAUUGGGUUUAAAGGGUCCGUAGGCGGCCUUAUAAGUCAGUGGUGAAAUCUUCUAGCUCAACUAGGAAACUGCCAUUGAUACUGUAGGGCUUGAAUUAUUGUGAAGUAACUAGAAUAUGUAGUGUAGCGGUGAAAUGCUUAGAUAUUACAUGGAAUACCAAUUGCGAAGGCAGGUUACUAACAAUUGAUUGACGCUGAUGGACGAAAGCGUGGGGAGCGAACAG
rnacentral:rRNA from 1 species